GACGAACGCUGGCGGCGUGCUUAACACAUGCAAGUCGAACGGAAAGGCCCUGCUUUUGUGGGGUGCUCGAGUGGCGAACGGGUGAGUAACACGUGAGUAACCUGCCCUUGACUUUGGGAUAACUUCAGGAAACUGGGGCUAAUACCGGAUAGGAGCUCCUGCUGCAUGGUGGGGGUUGGAAAGUUUCGGCGGUUGGGGAUGGACUCGCGGCUUAUCAGCUUGUUGGUGGGGUAGUGGCUUACCAAGGCUUUGACGGGUAGCCGGCCUGAGAGGGUGACCGGCCACAUUGGGACUGAGAUACGGCCCAGACUCCUACGGGAGGCAGCAGUGGGGAAUAUUGCACAAUAGGCGGAAGCCUGAUGCAGCAACGCCGCGUGCGGGAUGACGGCCUUCGGGUUGUAAACCACUUUCGCCUGUGACGAAGCGUGAGUGACGGUAAUGGGUAAAGAAGCACCGGCUAACUACGUG
rnacentral:rRNA from 1 species